UACGUAGGGAGCAAGCGUUGUCCGGAAUCAUUGGGCGUAAAGAGCUCGUAGGCGGCUUGGUAAGUCGGAUGUGAAACCUCCAGGCUCAACCUGGAGUCGCCAUCCGAUACUGCCAUGCUAGAGUCCGGUAGGGGCCCACGGAACUCCUGGUGUGAGCGGUGAAAUGCGCAGAUAUCAGGAAGAACACCGGUGGCGAAGGCGGUGGCUGGGCCGGCACUGACGCUGAGGAGCGAAGCGUGGGAGCGAACAGG
rnacentral:rRNA from 1 species